GCGGAUGUGGCGGAAUGGCAGACGCGCUAGGUUCAGGUCCUAGUGUUCGCAAGGACGUGGGGGUUCAAAUCCCUUCAUCCGCACCA
rnacentral:tRNA from 1 species